UCGUGCUAGGCGGGGAGGUAGCGGUGCCCUGUACCUGCAAUCCGCUAUAGCAGGGUUUAAUCCCUGUCGUAGGCUUUUUCUCUGUAGGGUCUGCUCUCUGUAAGUAUCAAUGAAGACCGGGUCUUGCGCAACGAAAACCUGUGAACCCCGUCAGGUUCGGAAGAAAGCAGCGGUAAGCAAGCACUUUCGUGUGCCGCAGGUAAGCCUGGUACGAGAUUACUGCGGAGGUUACGCUUGUAGUGAUAAGUCAAUGACAGGUGCACGG
rnacentral:SRP_RNA from 1 species